rnacentral:rRNA from 1 species
GAUGAACGCUGGCGGCGUGCUUAACACAUGCAAGUCGAACGAAGACAUCUGAGUGCUUGCACUUGGAUGGACUGAGUGGCGGACGGGUGAGUAACGCGUGGGUAACCUGCCUUAUACAGGGGGAUAACAGUUGGAAACGACUGCUAAUACCGCAUAAGCGCACGGUAUCGCAUGAUACAGUGUGAAAAACUCCGGUGGUAUAAGAUGGACCCGCGUCUGAUUAGCUAGUUGGUAAGGUAAUGGCUUACCAAGGCGACGAUCAGUAGCCGACCUGAGAGGGUGAUCGGCCACAUUGGAACUGAGACACGGUCCAAACUCCUACGGGAGGCAGCAGUGGGGAAUAUUGGGCAAUGGGGGAACCCUGACCCAGCAACGCCGCGUGGAGGAAGAAGGUUUUCGGAUCGUAAACUCCUGUCCUUGGAGACGAGUAGAAGACGGUAUCCAAGGAGGAAGCCCCGGCUAACUACGUG